GUACUCCUUGGCAGCCCAUAUAUUAAAACUGGAAGGAUACAGAGAAGAGUAGCACGGCUCCCGUGCAGGGAUGACCAGAUCGUUAGUGGGGGUUAUUUUAAGCUCUU